GUCGUGGUACUAGAGAAGAAGUAGAGAACACAUGUAGAGACAGGCUAGGGAGCUAGACCUACAGUACUGUGCUACGUGCUUACCUUCAAUAUAAUUACACUUGAACGUUUUUCGGUCUCAUGUGCUUAUUACUACUUGCAACAUAACAAACGGCAUGUGCGUUCCUGAAAGGCAGUUACCGUUCCAGAACGGCAUGUGCCGUGGUAUGCCAGUGGUCACGGUGGCACAUGCAGGCCAAUACACGAUCUCGGCACUACCUGAGAGUGGAGAGAAAUGUACCUGCAGGGGGGAGGGGCAGGCUCCAGAACCUGUUCCAUUGUUAUUCACAACUACUCAGCGGGCUGUGGUUGAGGCUAUGUCUGUGCUGCGGCCCAGAGUGAACAUUAUCCUGAAGUCUGGCACAGAGUGGCAGAUAAUGCUAGACAUGGAUGACCACACAUUUGCCCGGCAUUUCAGAAUAUCAAAAACCCGGUUUGAGGUCCUUAAAGGGUACCUACAGGAGGGUGGCCUGCAAAGCGAUCACAACCAUGGGCUGCCCCCCCUGCCUAUUGCCAAGAAGGUACUCAUGUUCCUGUGGUACAUGGGCAACCAGAACUGCUUCCGGGAGAUAUCAGACAAGUUUAACGUCUCAUCUUCAUCAGCACACCGCGCCAUACUCCAAGUGCUAACCAUCAUGUCCACCCUUGGCUGGGCUUUUGUCUCUUGGCCUAAAGGCUGUGAGAAGAGGGUGUCUGCCACCAGCUUCCAACGCACAUGUGGCCUUGAGAGGGUCAUUGGAGCGAUUGAUGGCUGCCACAUUAGAAUACAGUGUCCACGGGUCAGAGGAGUGGACUACAUGAACAGGAAGUCCUUCUACUCUGUCCUCCUCCAGGGGAUUGUGGAUGCUGAAGGCUGAUUCAUCAAUGUCUUCACUGGAAUGCCUGGCAAAGUGCAUGAUGCCCGGCUGCUGCGGUCCUCCUGGUUUUUCCAAGAAUGGCAGGAGAGGAUGGGGGAGUACCGUCUGCUGGGGGACAGUGCAUACAUCGGUCAGGAUUUUCCCUUCAUCAUCUCCCCCCGGCGUGACAACGGGGCUCUUACUGAUGCAGACCUUCGUCGCAACACCGACAUCUGCCGGGGAAGAGUCAUCAUUGAGCAGGCAUUUGGGAGAAUGAAAUGCAAGUGGAGGCGCAUUAGAGACUUGCAGAACACAUGCACUGUCACUAUUGCGAAGAUCAUCUUGGCUGCAUGUUAUCUUCACAACUUUGCCCAAGGUGCCUCGAUAGGAUGUGAUGAACACCCAGAUGGAUGUCCAAGAGAAGAUGAUGCCAACCAGUAGGAAAAGGUGUUCAGGCAAUUCUAUUAUGUUCAUUAUUCAUUAC
rnacentral:lncRNA from 1 species